CCUACGGGAGGCAGCAGUCGGGAAUUUUGCGCAAUGGGGGAAACCCUGACGCAGUAAUACCGCGUGUGGGAUGAAGGCCUUCGGGUCGUAAACCACUUUUCUCGGGGACGAUAAUGACGGUACCCGAGGAAUAAGCCACGGCUAACUACGUGCCAGCAGCCGCGGUAAUACGUAGGUGGCAAGCGUUGUCCGGAUUUACUGGGCGUAAAGCGCGCGCAGGCGGUGAAUGAAGUCGAAAGUGAAAGCCCCGGGCUCAACUCGGGAACAGCUUUCGAAACCAGUUCACUUGAAGGUGGAAGAGGGAAGUGGAAUUCCGAGUGUAGCGGUGGAAUGCGCAGAUAUUCGGAGGAACACCAGAGGCGAAGGCGACUUCCUGGUCCAAUCUUGACGCUGAGGCGCGAAAGCUAGGGGAGCAAACAGGAUUAGAUAUCCUGGUAGUCCUAGCUGUAAACGAUGGAUACUAGGUGUUGGAGGUUUUAACCCCUCCGGUGCCGCAGCUACGACAUAAGUAUACCGUCCGUCGGGUAGGUACGGCCGCGACGGACGUAAACUACAAGAAGUAGACGGCGUGAGACGUCGCCGAACGGACGACGACGAGGGAGAGG
rnacentral:rRNA from 1 species